UACGUAGGGCGCAAGCGUUAUCCGGAAUUAUUGGGCGUAAAGAGCUCGUAGGCGGUUUGUCGCGUCGGCUGUGAAAUCCCGAGGCUCAACCUCGGGUCUGCAGUGGAUACGGGCAGACUAGAGGUAGGUAGGGGAGAAUGGAAUUCCCGGUGUAGCGGUGAAAUGCGCAGAUAUCGGGAGGAACACCGGUGGCGAAGGCGGUUCUUUGGGCCUUACCUGACGCUGAGGAGCGAAAGCGUGGGGAGCGAACAGG
rnacentral:rRNA from 1 species